AUGAAGGAAAAAGUGUUUUCCCUUGACUGCUGGCUGUUGUUUCAUCUUCUACUACUUUUAGGAAAUGCUGUAACGUCCACUGCUAACACUACAACCACCUCCCUUGGAUCGGCCACAACAUCCAGUGGAACUGACACAACCGCUACCAGCGUCACCAUCUCCAGCGUCACCAGCUCAAGUACUGCUCCGCCGAGGGAAGAGGAAAAGCCUAGCGGACACCUGAGGCCGGGGGAGGUCGUCCUAGUUACUCUGGCCUCGGUUGCGAUGGCUGUGAUUCUCCUCACUGGGCUUCUCUUCUAUUUUAGAAACUCUCCAAGCCUAAGAAACCUCUUCAACGUAGAUCUCUUGCCGCCCCCACUGCUAUGCCCUCAUGGCUGUUAUGAAGUCCCAGAAGGGUCCAGGGCGACCGUAACUGACUUCAGAGGAGAGCUGUCUUCUCCUGCAGCCAGAGGGCUGACUGGGAGACAAGCAUGGCCCUGAGCGUCCCUGAAGGCAGAAGCAACACAGUCCUCGGGGGCAGAGAGGCUGCUGACCUGGAUCGAGAGGUUAAGUGCCCCCUGUUCCUGCUCCUCCCAACUUUUCUUCAGCCUCCUUCCCAGCUUGAUUCUUCCAACAAAAGGAGGCUGUAGCUGAGACUGAAUUGUUGAAUAAAUGCAUCUAAUAUACGUGGAACCAGACACUGUGGGUGUGUGCUUAUACAUUGCUGUGAAUAAAGGUUCCUAAAGACCCUUCUUGCCUAUGUUCUCCCAGCUCUCGAAUCCCUAGGGUGAAAUCCAGACUGUGCAUUUAUCCCCUUUUCUUCCCCAUUCCCUGAAGGUCUCCAGGCUGAUGGAAGAAUGGAAUCAGGAAAGGGUCGGGGGAGAAAGUGCUGGGCUUCACAGGUUUGUGUUGCACAAUCAGAAAACAGUUGCUGUGCAAGUUCAGAGCACAUGUUCACAGAUAGGGAAGCAGAGAAGGUGUUGCUAACAGGGCUGCCCCCAGAGGUGGCGCAUUGCAUGGUUCCCUGGCCAUACAAGCCUGGUCUUCACUGGAAAGACAGGUGUGAGUCGGCACCUGUCUCACCUGCGGGCUCGCAGCCCCAGCAGCCGUCCUGGGCAGAGAAGUGUGAUCCCAGUUUCUGCAAGGGUGGGCUCAGCCUCCGUGGCCAGGAGCCAAGUUCCUGGCACUUCCCACAAAGCCAGGUCUCAGAACAGGGCCAAAAAAUCCAUGUGUCAGCACCCAACGAUGCUGAAAGCCAAGGCCUCGUUAAGGAUUCUGGUGCAACUUGCUCAUCACACACAUUCGCUGACCCUUCCUCAUGCCAAUGAAUCACUCACCUUUGUUUCAUGUUUUCACUUGGCUUUUGCUGUGGUUCUCAAAGUCUGAACAUUUGCCAGAGCCUUCUUAACAGGAAGACACAAACUGCCAGUUCCUAGGGAGGAAAGUAGGGGAUAUAUUGGGAGACUAGGAUUGACAUAAAUACACUACUAUAUAUAUAUAAAAUAGAUAACUAAUAGCGGCCUACUGUAUAGCACAGGAAACUCUUCUCAAUACUCUGUAAGGACAUGACCUAUAUGGAAAAAGAUCUAAAAAAGAGUGGUAUUUGUAUAUGUAUACCUGAUACACCUUGCUGAACAGCAGAAACAAAUGCAACAUUGUAAAUCAGCUAUAAUCUAAUAAAAAAUAAAAAAGCUUUAGGAUAUCCUAUAAAAUGAUGAUACUCUUUAAAAGUGUCAACAUCAUGAAAGACAAAGACAGAGGAACUGCGGCAGAUUAGAAGAGACUAAGGAGACCUAUAAAUAAACGCCAUGUGGAUUCUGGAUUGGAUCCUGGAACAGAAAGAUGACAUCAAUGGAAAAACACGUGAAAUCUGAAUCAGUUCUGUAAUUUAGCGAGUAGUGUUGGACCAACAUUAAUUUCUUAGUUUCUAUCAUUGUAUUUGUUGUUCAGUCACCAAGUCUUGUCCGACUCUUUUUGACCCCAGGGACUGCAACACCCCAGGCUUUC
ensembl:lincRNA